AUACGGAGGGUGCAAGCGUUAUUCGGAAUCACUGGGCGUAAAGGACGCGUAGGCGGGUUGGCAAGUCAGAUGUGAAAUCCUACAGCUUAACUGUAGAACUGCAUUUGAAACUGGCAACCUAGAGUAUGGGAGGGGGAGAUGGAAUUAGUGGUGUAGGGGUAAAAUCCGUAGAUAUCACUAGGAAUACCGAAAGCGAAGGCGAUCUCCUGGAACAUAACUGACGCUAAGGCGUGAAAGCGUGGGGAGCAAACGGGAUUAGAUACCCCAGUAGUCC
rnacentral:rRNA from 1 species